AACGAACGCUGGCGGCAUGCCUAACACAUGCAAGUCGAACGAGACCUUCGGGUCUAGUGGCGCACGGGUGCGUAACGCGUGGGAACCUGCCCUUAGGUUCGGAAUAACUCCCCGAAAGGGGUGCUAAUACCGGAUAAUGUCGUCGGACCAAAGAUUUAUCGCCCUUGGAUGGGCCCGCGUUGGAUUAGCUAGUUGGUAGGGUAAAAGCCUACCAAGGCGACGAUCCAUAGCUGGUCUGAGAGGAUGAUCAGCCACACUGGGACUGAGACACGGCCCAGACUCCUACGGGAGGCAGCAGUGGGGAAUAUUGGACAAUGGGCGAAAGCCUGAUCCAGCAAUGCCGCGUGAGUGAUGAAGGCCUUAGGGUUGUAAAGCUCUUUUACCCGGGAUGAUAAUGACAGUACCGGGAGAAUAAGCUCCGGCUAACUCCGUG
rnacentral:rRNA from 1 species